rnacentral:rRNA from 1 species
UACGAAGGGGGCGAGCGUUGUUCGGAUUUACUGGGCGUAAAGGGCGCGUAGGCGGCCCACCAAGUCAGGCGUGAAAGCCCCGGGCUCAACCUGGGAGGUGCGCUUGGGACUGAUGGGCUGGAGUUCGGGAGAGGAGCGUGGAAUUCCCAGUGUAGAGGUGAAAUUCGUAGAUAUUGGGAAGAACACCGGUGGCGAAGGCGGCGCUCUGGACCGAGACUGACGCUGAGGCGCGAAGGCGUGGGGAGCAAACAGG